rnacentral:rRNA from 1 species
GAUGAACGCUGGCGGCGUGCCUAAUACAUGCCAGUCGAGCGAACGGACGAGAAGCUUGCUUUUCUGAUGUUAGCGGCGGACGGGUGAGUAACACGUGGAUAACCUACCUAUAAGACUGGGAUAACUUCGGGAAACCGGAGCUAAUACCGGAUAAUAUUUUGAACCGCAUGGAUCAAAAGUGAAAGACGGUCUUGCUGUCACUUAUAGAUGGAUCCGCGCUGCAUUAGCUAGUUGGUAAGGUAACGGCUUACCAAGGCAACGAUGCAUAGCCGACCUGAGAGGGUGAUCGGCCACACUGGAACUGAGACACGGUCCAGACUCCUACGGGAGGCAGCAGUAGGGAAUCUUCCGCAAUGGGCGAAAGCCUGACGGAGCAACGCCGCGUGAGUGAUGAAGGUCUUCGGAUCGUAAAACUCUGUUAUUAGGGAAGAACAUAUGUGUAAGUAACUGUGCACAUCUUGACGGUACCUAAUCAGAAAGCCGCGGCUAACUACGUG